rnacentral:rRNA from 1 species
UACGUAGGUGGCAAGCGUUGUCCGGAUUUACUGGGCGUAAAGCGCGCGCAGGCGGGUCGGCUAGUCUGAGGUGAAAUCUCACGGCUUAACUGUGAGGGGUCCUUGGAUACUACCGACCUUGAGGGGCUCAGAGGAGAGUGGAAUUCCGGGUGUAGUGGUGGAAUGCGUAGAUAUCCGGAGGAACACCAGUGGCGAAAGCGACUCUCUGGGGGCAACCUGACGCUGAGGCGCGAAAGCGUGGGGAGCGAACCGG